GGGGGUGAAUGGAUUCGAUCCAUUAAGUAGUCUUUGAAGCUGCAUGUCGAGGAUAUCAGGAGGCCUCGUUAAAAACCUGAUAACACAAUUAAGUGACGCUGGUUGCGUCUCAUUCUCUUUCUGUUAAGAGGGAGGCCUCUCUUAGAGUUUACCUGUGACUUUAUUUGAGGCUUGGAAAGCAGGUUGCCUCUCUUGUUCUGUCUGCGGAUAAGAGAUUAAGAUUUAGCAGAAUAGCUUCUUUAAAUCCUGCCUUUUGGAGCUAGAGAAGUAAAAUUAAAUAAAAGGCUAAACAUGUAGAAGCUCAGGGUGCACUUAUUGGAGACGCGGGCUCAAUUCCCGCCACCUCCAUCU
rnacentral:tmRNA from 1 species